rnacentral:rRNA from 1 species
AACGAACGCUGGCGGCAGGCUUAACACAUGCAAGUCGAACGCCCCGCAAGGGGAGUGGCAGACGGGUGAGUAACGCGUGGGAAUCUACCCAGUUCUGCGGAACAACAGUUGGAAACGACUGCUAAUACCGCAUACGCCCUACGGGGGAAAAAUUUAUCGGAAUUGGAUGAGCCCGCGUUGGAUUAGCUAGUUGGUGGGGUAAUGGCCUACCAAGGCGACGAUCCAUAGCUGGUCUGAGAGGAUGAUCAGCCACACUGGGACUGAGACACGGCCCAGACUCCUACGGGAGGCAGCAGUGGGGAAAAUUGGACAAUGGGCGCAAGCCUGAUCCAGCCAUGCCGCGUGAGUGAUGAAGGCCUUAGGGUUGUAAAGCUCUUUCAGUAGGGAAGAUAAUGACGGUACCUACAGAAGAAGCCCCGGCUAACUUCGUGCCAGCCGCCGCGGUAAUAC